UGCAGCUGAAAGUCAAACCGAGCCUUUGUGGUUACAGGCAGCAGUUCUCCUGCAGUCGCGGAAGCGCAGAUGCCAAUGGAAGCUGUCAGAAGUACAUCUCCCUUGAAGGUCACUCCUCCCUAUCUCCCAGGGACCAAUUUCAGAACAGAGGGGAAUUUUGUGCGUUAAUUGCACUGAGACUUUUCUGUGCUGCAACUGAAAGAUAUCCCACACUGAAAUGCAGCCCAUGCACACAAAGAAGUGACCUGAUCCCACUUACUCUGCACAGAUAAAAAUCCCAUGAACUCAAGGGGAGUUUUGCCUGGAUUAGUACAACACUACUGGGCCCAGGUCAUUCAGAACAUCACUGCGAUGCAACCCGGAUCUUCCUGCUCCAAAAGCACAAGCUCCUACAUAUCUGAAAUAUGGGAGAACUUCCUUCAGCAGCGAGGCACUACAAGGUCUAUGGCACACAGCUGAAAAGUUCUGAUUCCAUCCAGUAGAGUGCAGUGGUACAGACAACAUACCCACAUAUAGUGAGCAGUUCAUUACAAUAGGUUUUAACUGUGGUUAUUGUUAUACAGGACACUGAAUGUCUUGGCAGACAGCAACUAAUACAACUAGAAAACAUUUCCUCCCCAGUUAGAUAACUCAAUUUCCUAAUUGCAUCUACAAAGGUAGCUUGCUGUACCCUUCUUUAAAUGUGUGUCCACACAAGCAUCCAAUCUUGGGGUGCGGCUCUGAACCAGCUUCCAAAUCACGACGUUUGCCUGCCAUGGAAAGGAUCCACCAUAUGUGACCAAAAGUGUAUCUGAUGGAUUAUCACUUAAUUUGGUCUUUAUGCUCAUCUCUUUCACUCAGUCACAUAGUUCCUCUACCUUCAGGUACACCUAGCCUUGCAGACUUUCACUUAUGCGGGAGAAAUUUUCUCUUCCCAUAUGGCGCUAGAACUGGGGAAGAGUUUGUUAAAGAAGAAAACUAAAGAAUAAAUUAAAGUUAUUGUUAA